rnacentral:rRNA from 1 species
UGGCUCAGGAUAAACGCUAGCGGCAGGCCUAACACAUGCAAGUCGAGGGGCAGCGGAAGAAUUACUUCGGUAGUUCUGCCGGCGACCGGCGCACGGGUGCGUAACGCGUAUGCAACCUACCUUCAACAGGGGGAUAAUCCGAAGAAAUUUGGUCUAAUACCCCAUAAUAUUCAGAGAGGCAUCUUUUUGAGUUGAAAACUCCGGUGGUUGAAGAUGGGCAUGCGUUGUAUUAGCUGGAUGGUGAGGUAACGGCUCACCAUGGCGAUGAUACAUAGGGGGACUGAGAGGUUUUCCCCCCACACUGGUACUGAGACACGGACCAGACUCCUACGGGAGGCAGCAGUGAGGAAUAUUGGUCAAUGGACGCAAGUCUGAACCAGCCAUGCCGCGUGCAGGAAGAAGGUGCUAUGCAUUGUAAACUGCUUUUAUACGGGGGUAAUUACAGAUACGUGUAUCUGGAUGAAAGUACCGUAUGAAUAAGGAUCGGCUAACUCCGUGCCAGCAGCCGCGGUAAUACGGAGGAUCCGAGCGUUAUCCGGAUUUAUUGGGUUUAAAGGGUGCGUAGGCGGUCAGGUAAGUUAGAGGUGAAAGCUCGAUGCUCAACAUCGAAACUGCCUCUGAUACUGUCUGACUAGAGUGUAGUUGCGGAAGGCGGAAUGUGUGGUGUAGCGGUGAAAUGCUUAGAUAUCACACAGAACACCGAUUGCGAAGGCAGCUUUCCAAGCUAUUACUGACGCUGAGGCACGAAAGCGUGGGGAGCGAACAGGAUUAGAUACCCUGGUAGUCCACGCAGUAAACGAUGAUAACUCGUUGCCGGCGAUACACAGUCGGUGACUAGCGAAAGCGUUAAGUUAUCCACCUGGGGAGUACGUUCGCAAGAAUGAAACUCAAAGGAAUUGACGGGGGCCCGCACAAGCGGAGGAACAUGUGGUUUAAUUCGAUGAUACGCGAGGAACCUUACCCGGGCUUGAAAGUUAGCGACGGACUCUGAAAGGAGUCUUCUCUUCGGAGCGCGAAACUAGGUGCUGCAUGGUUGUCGUCAGCUCGUGCCGUGAGGUGUCGGGUUAAGUCCCAUAACGAGCGCAACCCCUACUGUCAGUUGCCAGCAUGUAAUGAUGGGGACUCUGGCAGGACUGCCGGUGUAAGCCGAGAGGAAGGUGGGGAUGACGUCAAAUCAGCACGGCCCUUACGUCCGGGGCGACACACGUGUUACAAUGGCCGGUACAGAGGGCAGCUACCUGGUGACAGGAUGCGAAUCUCGAAAGCCGGUCUCAGUUCGGAUUGGAGGCUGAAACUCGCCUCCAUGAAGUUGGAUUCGCUAGUAAUCGCGCAUCAGCCAUGGCGCGGUGAAUACGUUCCCGGGCCUUGUACACACCGCCCGUCAAGCCAUGGGAGUUGGGGGUGCCUGAAGUACGUGACCGCAAGGAGCGUCCUAGGGCAAAACU